AGAGUUUGAUCCUGGCUCAGAACGAACGCUGGCGGCGUGCUUAACACAUGCAAGUCGAACGCGAAAGGGACUUCGGUCCUGAGUAAAGUGGCGCACGGGUGAGUAACGCGUAGAUAACCUGUCUUUGUGUCUGGAAUAAUACUUCGAAAGGGGUACUAAUACCGGAUAACCUUGCUUUUCACAAGUUAUGCAAGCAAAGGUGGCCUCUGAUACAAGCUACUGCAUGAAGAGGGGUCUGCGUACCAUUAGCUAGUAGGUGGGGUAAUGGCCUACCUAGGCGACGAUGGUUAGCGGGUCUGAGAGGAUGAUCCGCCACACUGGCACUGGAACACGGGCCAGACUCCUACGGGAGGCAGCAGUGAGGAAUAUUGCGCAAUGGGGGCAACCCUGACGCAGCGACGCCGCGUGAGGGAAGAAGGCUUUCGGGUUGUAAACCUCUGUCCUUGGUGACGAAAAAAAUGACGGUAGCCAAGGAGGAAGCCCCGGCUAACUACGUGCCAGCAGCCGCGGUAA
rnacentral:rRNA from 1 species